UUCCUAUGAGCAUGUUUUAUGUCAAAGACGUACAUCAAAUGUGUCGUUUCCAGCAUAUCUUCCACAUCAAAUGUGUUCCUUGCAGAAGAAAUGGCUGUUAAGUUUGGCAGCUGUAAAAAUUUCAGGGCAUAACUUCUAUUUUGCUUCUUAUUUCUAAUGUCUACAAUUCCCGUCACUCUGGAACUAAUGUCCUAUGUCGUUCAUAUAUCUCCUGGUUCGUUGCAUACGAUCUAAUUGUAGCAAGAUAAACUAAGCAAAUGUUAUUUCCUCUUUAAGAUGGGGUUGGCUGUCACGCGCUGGCCUAUGGGACAAGAGUCAUCUAACCAGGCAAAUUGAGAAGUGAGUGGUUAUGUUUUCAUAUUGCUGCAUAUUUUACAGACCACUGGCUUAUUUGUGUAAAUGCAACUAUUUUUCCUUUGUUGUAGAUAUGCUGAUAUAUACACUUCAAGGGUUUCAAACUUUCUACACUAUACUCCAUUCAUGUAUUUUCGAUCACAAGAACAGGUAAAUGCACAGAUCCAUAUAAUAUUGUGUCCUGUUACCUUUUGUCAUUUUGCAUUGUGCUCGAGUUUAUUACCUGAGCCUUUAGAGUGGCAAUUCUCCACUACAAUCACUGAAGACACGUUAUAGCAGUAAAGGGAUGACACAAUCACUCCUGCAAAUGCCUUGGAAUAUGUAAAAAGAAUGUUAGACAUGGUUUUAGGAAAGGGCAUUCUGUUGAUUUGCCUAGUGAAGUUAUUUUCUUUGCCACUUGCCUUCAAGUAGUUCUCCUCUUGCUAAGAGCGUUUUGUGCCAAUGGGAGUAGGCAGAGGUAGAAUAUACUCCCUCCGUCCCAUAAUAUAAGAACGUUUUUCAAACUAACAAAGCUUGAAAAACGUUCUUAUAUUAUGGGACGGAGGGAGUACUAUUUAUCAUAUCUACUUGAUGUCGUGAAACUACCAACGCAGCACAUUGAAAAGUACUCCAGGUCACUUGAACAAUCUGCGUACCUGAAAAUCACCACAAUAGCUGUUACUGUGUUACAAAUCUGUAAAGAAAAACAGUAAAAGAACAUCGACAUGAGCACACUAUUUGUACUCCCUCCGUUCCUAAAUGUAAGUCUUUCUAGAGAUUUCAAUAUGGACUACAUACGGAGCAAAUUAGUGAAUCUAUACUCUAAAGUAUGUCUAUAUACAUCCGUAUGUAGUCCAUAUUGAAAUUGCUAAAAAGACUUAUAUUUAGGAACGGAGGGAGUACAUGCUAUACUAACUAUGUGGCCUCCACUUAAAUUUGUUGAAAACAAGCCUAGGGUACGUGCUACAUUGACAUUGGUUGCAUCGACGAAUUACUCUGUUGUAUCCACAACUGUUCGUUGUUUCACUAUGAAUUGUUGCUAAUCCUUUAAGCACCUCUUAGACGCUUGCACACGACGUCCAUUCUUAUUCCGGCGAUCAAUAACAUUGGUGUCAACGAGUUCCCUCUAUGUCUAAUCACGCGCGGAGACUGGGCGAUGGAAAUAAGAAGAAUUGCAAGUUGGUAAGGACUGUGUGGCCGUAGUUGCUGGGCUGCACCAAGCUCCUGGAUACUGGGCAAAGACUGCUGAUUCGCGAUAUGUUGCGAUGUGUAAGUAUUAUUUUUUGCGGGAGUGCAAGUAAUUUAUAUGGCCGUGUGCCAGUACAGCUAAAGUCAUUAGCUAGUUGUAAGUUUUUACACGAUUAGAUUCUUACAGUAAGCGACUGUCGUGGUCGUUUGUUUUGGUUUGGUGAGGAAUAAGAAUGAUGACCAGUGUGAUUUUUAGCAGACCAUGUGAAGUGUUACACAGCGGAGAUCCGGCAGUUUAUGUAACUUAAUUUGUGCAAAGCUUAUGUAUAAUGAACCGAUGGAAUCUCUAUUCAUGAAUGAAAGAUUUCAUCUUCUCGUUGUAAGCCUAUGUUCUGCAUGCCGCCGGGAGGUCCUUGGUACGUGCGGUUUUCCUGGAUUAUUUGUGGGAAUUGCCUGUUUUCAGUAAAAUUCUACUGAAUCCAGGCGUUUUAAUUUCGCUGUAUAUAGGAGCAUUUUUCACUGCUUGGAAAGAGUGGUCAGCUAUAUAUAAAAAACAAUAAGAAAAUAGGAGCAUUUUUCCUACAAAAUUUGGGCUUACAACGGAUUGAUGUUAGAUCCAGUACCAGUUUAAUCAUAUUUUGCAAAAAGGAGAGUAAUCAGCACCUAUUUGCCCAGUUUACUUGUGGUGGGUUCUCUAGCAGAAAUGGACGAGGCUCGUUGUUUUUUUCUGAAAAAAAAAGACCCAGUUUACAUGUUAUUUGCCACGUAGGCAGUCGCCAUGCUCCGUCACAGCCAGCGUGGCUCGUCACCCCCCUAUCUUUGGGACGCACCGCAACAGCUGCAACACUCGGACGCAGCACAAAGCGAAAGAACAAUCCGAGAAAAAGCCCGGCGAAAGCGGCGUCGGCGGCGAUGUUGCGGCAGAUGCGAUGGCUGACGGACAGGGAAGGGAGGUGGGAGCUGGACGUGGAGUCCCCGGCGACGAUGGAGGGCACGGCGCGCCCGGUCCCGGGCGACCCGCUGCCCCUCGGUCUCUCGCGGGGGCCCCGCGUCACCCGCACCAAGCAGCUCGACUUCUUCCACCGCUUCAUGGCCUCCCCGCUCGUCCCCUCCUUCUCCGCCUCCCGCGCCGGCCUCUCCCUCCAUCACGCGCACCUCCUCCAUCUCGCCCACAACUGGUAACCCCCCUCCCCUCACAACCUAACUCACCAACAAUCCUGCGGGAAACGGUCCUACUUACGUAUCUGCACCCUUCCAAGGAUUGCCGCGGUUGAUAGGUAGUGAAAUGUGGUAUACCAGGUGCCGAUUCCAAUACUGGUUCCACACGUACCAGCCCCAUCCGAGUGGAUGGAACAUUAGUCGUAGAUUUCUUAGGUAGUUGUUUCUGAAUGCCUUGUGUCUGGUUAUUGUGUUCGUUUAUUUGAACCUUGCCUGCUUGCACGAAGACGAACUGUAUAAUUGCAAUGAUUUUAAUUCAUGUGUAACAAGUACUACCUCUGUAACUAAAUAUAAGACAUUUUUGCAGUUGAUCUGACCAGACUCAUGUUCACUAACAACUUAAUGUGAUCUGUGCAGGUCAUUUACUAUCUUGGAGCAGCUUCAUGUACAGAAGCUCGUGACAGCCGUGAAGGAGAAGCUGUCAAAUCAUCGACAAGGGGUUCCCUGGUCCAAUGAUCUCGAGAGGCAUUUGCAUGACGUCAUUUCUCUAGGUGUUGGCACGGAAUUCUUGAUCACACCAGACACGGCAUUGCUGCUGGAGUUGUACAAUAUCAACAAGGGGGACCGAGGCAAAGCGAUUAUUCACCACAAGGCAAAACACCUGGAUGCCCUUAGGCUCUUCGGCAUAUAGUUAGCUACUUGCGUGUAUUCUGUUAUGUUUGUGCUGCCAUUUCUCACUAAAUCUUAUUUUCUUCAUGCAUGCCGAUUAGGACAUGUAGUCAUCAAUAGGUUGUGAUGGAUUUAUGGAAUACUUGAUCUUGCUCUGUUUUGGGGAUGACUGGUUUACUGAACUAAUGCUACUGUUGCUGUUCUGAAUGCUUGGAUGAACUGAACCAUUCUUUUUACUGUUUGCAGCUUCCUCAACAAAAUAUUACAUUAGCAGCAUCUUGGCCUGGAUUAUUUGUUGAUAAACAGGGGGUGUACUGGGAUGUGCCUUUAUCAUUGUCAGCUGAUCUUGCUUCAGUCGGCUCCAGUUCUGGAUUGAGUUAUCAUCUAUUGUUACAACAGAAUAGUGGGGAGCCAAAAUGUUUUGGUGGUGAUGAAACCAAUGAUGUUCCUCUCGCUCUGCUACCUGGUUUGUGUGCUAAAGCAGCUAUUUCCAUCAAGAGAAGUAUUGAUGCUUGGAGGAAGAAAGAAGACAAGCUAAAAAUGGUUCAGCCUUAUGAUGCAUUUCUCUCAGACCCUCAUGUUUCAUUCACUGGAAUUGUUGGUAAGAAUCUUACCAUGUUUUACAGUUUUAGUGUUGUGCUGAUAAGCUGAUUACAUCUUUGUAGUUGUAAAAUCUGUCCUUGAGCUUCAGUGACACAUUCUGUAAGCUGCUUUCAAGAAAAGUUCUUGGGUCUACUUGCUUAGAGGUUAUGUUUUUGACAACAUUUUCACUCACAUGCCAUGUCCUGCUCAUUGUCACAUUUCAAGAAUAUAUGAUAAUAUGACCAACAUUUUCCCUAGUGUUCCAAUGUAUCACAAGAUUUUGCAAGUCAAAAAUGGAUAUAUUAUCGCGAACUACUUUAUAGCCCUGUAUUGGAUUUAUAGGUCGCCAGCACCAAAUUGUUUACUGUUUUCUGCCUCAUUUUAUUCAUUCAGGUGCUGUAGCCAGUGGUUCUUUGGGAGAUUGUUCAAAAAGAAUUAUAGUGCCGGACGAAAUGCGAAAAAGCAAUGCCUUCAGAGUAUUCCACGAGAGGAAUAAGUUUGCUGCAUUUGCAGACCUCUUUGCUUCUGUUACUUUUACAGCUCAACAUGGAAAUUUCCAGAGGCUUUUCCUGGAUUUGACCAGGGUCAGUGCCCGAUUAGAUAUAUCCUCAGGAUCUUUGUUCUUACGUGGUGCUUCUCGAUUAGCGCAAGAUUUUUUCUUCUCUAGACGGCCUGAUUUAGAGACAUUCUGUGAUGUUUGUCCAGAUGUGAUUGUUUCUCUUCAACAACAGGUGAGUCAUAUUUUUCUUCCAUUUCACUUUGUGCUCUGUUACCUAGAACUAGAAGGUCAUUCUGUACGCAGACUGUCAUGCCACAAAGCAAGAUACUCUUACUCUCUUUUUUCAGAUUUGAUCUGUCAAAUCAUUUCGAUAUCUUUUUUAGUUCAGCCAAUAACCCUAAGGUGGAAGAAAUUUUGUCUGACAUGCUUUGCUAUUUGAUUAAUCAAGGUAUCGAAGAGCUUAGUUAUACUGUCACUUUCUAGCAGGAAUAGGUUGACACAAUGCUAUUAUAUAUCAAACAACAUACGUGCAUCUCUAUGUUUUCUUUAGGAAAACUUGAUUGGUGUCCUUUUUUUUUUUGACAAAGAGGGCUCUCCCUCCGAUUUCAUUUAACAGAAACCACAAUGUCUUACAUCUACCAGACAGAAAAUAUAAAGCAGCAUAUGCUAUAUAUGACCUAGAGCACCUAGAUAUAUCAAGGUGAUCCACGAUCAUCUGAAGAUCCACCAGGGGCUUCAGUGCACCAUCAGAAGGCACCCAGGACGAUGAGAAGCAAUGCUUUGAGACAUUGCUUAUGCUAACAUAGGGGAGUUUUUUCCACUUCCUAACUACAUAAAGAAAGGAGCAGAAACAAAGUGCACAUGUUUCAUCUAUUACAGGUUAGUACAUGAGCAGACAGAGACGGUAGAACAGCAAAAAGGCCAAAAGUAGCUCCUUCGUCAUCUUGCACUUCCACGGAUCUUCAUUGUAUCCUGAGCACAGCAAAAUGCCAUCCCUCGACUGCACGAAACACUUCACUUGCUGUCUGCUCAAGCAUUCUUACCACCCACUUCAGCUUUCUUUGAUUUUCCUGCUUUUUCUGCAAAACAAUCCAAUCACUAAGUCAUCUAGCAACCAUAUUAACAAGGACACAAGGGGGAGGCGGACGCUUGGUCUAUGAGGACAUUUACACCCUAUAUGGAAAAAAAAGUACUUCAAUAAAAAGUCAAAAAAUUCUGAAAAUAUUUUUGAAAUAAACUUGAUCUUCCAUUGUACUCGUGAGAAAAAUUCCACAAAAAGAAAAUCCCCCUUUGACUUCUUUUCAAAAAAGACAAAUUUUUGGCCAACAUAGUGUGAAUAGUGACCUAUAAUAGCAAAUAAAUGUUGUCUUUUUCGCUAUGAAGUCAACAUUGGUUUUUUUUCUUGAAAACUUAUAUACUUGCAAAAGUAAGUCAAGUUUAUUCUAAAAAUAGUUCUUAACUAUUUUGACUUUUUGUUUAAUUAUUAAAAAAAUCCCCAUAUAGGGUGUAUAUACAACCAGGUUCUGAAGUGUAUUUCCCGACACAAGGGUCGGUAAUUUUUGCAGUGUCAAAGAUAGUACUAUUUCUUCUUUUCCAAAUGGUCCAAAAGACCACAGCCACUCCAGUAAACAUCAGAUGUUUGUCAUCAGCUCUAAAAUUAUUCAACCAACUAUUGAGUAAAGCAUCAGUAUUGUCAGGUAAGUCAAUCAAAUUGAAAGCACAUUUUAAAAUAUUUCACAGCAUUCUAGCCAAGGAGCCUUUCAUGAACAUAUGAUCAAUAGAUUCAUCUAAACUACAAAAAGGGCAAGCCCUCCUACCAAUCCAUCCUCUUCUAAUCAAGUUUCUUUGGAUAGGAUACUGUUUCUAAGAACUAGCCACAUGAAAAAUCUUUACUCUCUGUGGAAUUUUAGUUUUCCACAUAAAGCGAUUGGUGUCCUGUAAUAUGUUAAUUUUAUCUGGGUACUACCUCCGUCCUGGUUUAUUGGUCCUCAUUGUAUUUCGUCCUAAAUUUUGACCAUAAAUUUAACUAACAAAAUGUUCAUGCAUGUCACAAAAAGUUAUAUCUUUGAAAACUAUAUUCAAAUAUGAAUCCGGCGAUAUAAUUUUCAUUGACAUGCAUUAACAUUUUGUUAGUGAAAUCUUUGGUCAAAAUUUGGCACAGAUUACAAAGGGGACUAAUAAACCAGGACGGAGGUAGUACCAUUUUUCUUGAAAGCAAUAAGCAAAUUGUUAGGAGGAGGUAUCCAGUAAUUGAACUCUGCUAGUUACCAUUAGUUUUCUGACUGAUGGCCGGGAUACUGGUUCUUUCCUCUCUCUUUUUGUUUUCUUCUAUCGUUUCAGUUAUUUGUCAAACUGUACACAAGGAUUGGAAAAGUUGGGCACUGAGGACUAACAAGUACUUAGCAACAAGUAUUAAGGGAAGCUAGCAUAUAUUGAUCUAUUGCUAAUGGAUGCAUCGCAUGAGAGCUUAAUCAUGUUAUCAGUUAGGACUAGGUUAUGGUUAGAUGUCGAACUCCAACUCCUUAGCUAUUACUGUAAGGUGGAUACUGACCCUAGAGCCUUAGAGAAAGUACGUGGUAGCUGGUACUAUGGGUCUAUGGCUUGUAUUGCAAGUCCUAUUGCUUAUGACUUCUCCCACCAGUUACUCUGUUAUUGCGGAACACAUUUCAUUACUGAAAUCUCAGAAGCUACAGGAUAAUUAUUUGCCACCACAUGUCAGUCACACAUGGAAUGCCAUGUAUGAAUACCAUUUGUUUCAAGUGGCAAAUACUGUUUUUUCCCCUGUGUAUAGUUACCUUUUUUGGCUUGAUGGUUUUUAUUACUGUUAGAUGGUAUCACCUUCCUAGAACUUAGGAAUCAGUAUUGGUAAGUACUUUUUGGUUAUUUUUCUCCUGUUGCCUUACUUCAAUAUAUUCCAAGCAGAUGAAUUAACCAGACAGUUCAUAAAGAGUUAAAAACACUCAGUAAAGCUAUCCUUUGUUCUAUGCGCAGAUAGUUGGACCAUUCAGCUUUCGUGUUGAAUCUUCUGUUGCCAUUGACCCAAGAAGUCCAGACCAUUUUGUUCGAGUGGGCGACUCGGUCUUCGCCAUUGAUUGGGCCCUGAAGGUUCUGGGUUCAGCAAAGGCCACAGCUUGGUAUUCGCCCAAGCAUCAGGAAGCAAUGGUGGAGCUUCGUUUCUUUGAGGUCUGAUGAAGCAUAUAAAGGUUCCAUCUCACGUCGAAGGUCACAAGCAUAAUCAUGUGGGUUUAUGGUCCGUUCAUAUAGUGCCACAUGGUGUAUCCCAUCAUAUGAAUGGUCGAUGCUGCGUUUAUCAAGCCUAUGCAUACAACACCACUGGAUUUAUCUGGGUUAUAUUACUUUAGACAUAUUGGAUCAUCGGUCCUGCCAUGCUGCUCAUCGGGUAAAAUAGUUUCUGCUAUAGAGUAAUCCACGGAGGAAAUUAUUAUUUCAGUUCUAGGACAGUUGUUAUGUAUUCACAUUGUCCGUCAAUUGAGAAUACAUUCUAAUUGUAUAUCGUACUUUCACUGGCCACAUUUGCUCUUGUUCAUCAAUUCAUUAUUACUAUAUGGUUUGAGAGUUUCACCU
rnacentral:lncRNA from 1 species